rnacentral:misc_RNA from 1 species
GUGAAGAAUCUAACAAUUUAUCUAUGGUCAAUGAAUACCAAACUGAGUUAAUAAACAACUCAAUAUCAACUAUGAUCCAGGAAGGAUGAAAACUAUAGACACAGUUAUUGUAUUAGAUUAGAUGACAAUCUCUCUUGGAACUCACACAUUGAUGGUCUUUGCAGCAAGCUCAACUCUAGUAUCUUUGCCCUCAAAAGAAUAAAAAGUACUUGUAACAAUGAUACUACCAGGACAGCAUACUUCUCUCUUUUUGAAUCUCAUCUGAGGUACGGACUACUCGUGUGGGGCAACUCCUCAGUAAGAAACAGGGAGCGGGUUCUGGUUCUACAAAAGAAAGCAAUUCGAAUUCUUGCGGGACUGACUCCUCAAGACUCAUGCCGUCAGACAUUUGGAGAACUAGCGAUCUUGACAGCUGUCUCACUCUACAUCUGCGAGACCAUCUGCUUCACAAUAGCUCAGAAACCUGACCAGCUAGGUGACACACACAGCUAUGACACCAGAAACGCCUAUGACUAUGCCCUCCCCACACACCACCUGACCCUAUUUGAAAAGAAACCUACAUACAUGGGGAGAAAACUUUUCAAUCAACUUCCAGAGGACCUCAAGAGACGCAGAGAUGAGAAGUACUUCAAGACAGCACUCAAGGCCUGGCUGCUGCAGAAACCAUAUUACACCCUAGAAGAAUUUUUAAAUACCUGAUUGUACAACUAAAUUAUAUUGACACAAUUCUGUACUCCAUGUAUACGAAUAAAGAUUUCUGUAUUCUGUAUGCUAAUGGGGAAGUUUAGCAAUUAUGUCAUGGCCUGGUAUCUAGCAUGCUUGAGAGACCAACAAUAAGACUACAGUUCAGGAAGAAUAAAGCUCUAUUAUGGGUAUGCCAGUGGAGGGAGCGAUUCAGUAGUUCACCAAUGGUGUGAUAGAUCACAAUCUCAACAGUCAGCCAUGGCGUGUAAACUGACUUCUACGUAACUUAAAUUAAAUUGGCCUUCAAUUAUAUUUCACAAUGCCCUCAAUCUGUUAGUAAGCACUUUGGUGUGAACUGAACACCAUAUAUCAUCCUGUUGGCACUGCUCCUUCUGAAUAGUCAAGUAGUAAUCAACAGUUUUUGCAGUAUACAACUGAUUUUAGAACAAAUAAACAUGGAGGAAGAGACAGUUGUGAUACAAACCAAACUGGGUCAGCUGAGAGGUCUGGUUAAACAUUCUGUUCUCAAUGACAAGACUUACUAUGCCUUCCUGGGUAUACCGUUUGGCAAACCUCCUCUUGGGGACCUCAGGUUUAAGGCACCUGAACCUUACGGAGGAUGGGAAGGCAUGAGGGAUGCUCUCACAGAUGGCAACGAUCCCAAACAACCAGUCUUCAUGAACAUCACUUGUCAAUCAACUCCAGACCAUGAAACUAUUGGCAGUGAAGACUGUCUUUAUCUCAAUGUUUACACAACUGAGCAUCCAGACAAAAGUACAGAAAAUAAACCAGUGUUGUUCUCCAUUCCCGGUGGUGGUUUCUUAUGUUGGUCAGGAAGUUCGACUAAAACAGGUGUUGAGAAUUUCAUGAAUGGUGAUGUAGUUGUUGUCUCUUUUAACUACAGAGUUGGAGCUUUUGGGUUUUUAUCUUUGGAGAAUGAAGAAGCCCCAGGCAAUGCUGGACUCAAGGACCAGACCUUGGCCUUACAGUGGGUACAUGACAACAUUGACAGUUUUGGAGGUGAUCCAAACAAUGUCACCCUUAUUGGAGUCAGUGCUGGAGGAGCCUCGGUACACUUUCAACUUUUGUGUCCUCAAUCCAGAGGACUGUUCCAUAAGGCUAUUAUACAAUGUGGCUUUGCAAAUAAUCCAUGGGCUAAUCAAGAAGCUCCAAGGGAAACUGCUUUAGAACUGGCCAAAGCCUUGGGAUGUACCUCUGAGGACUCUGAUGAAGUACUUCAAUUCCUCAAGUCUGCAUCUGCCGAUGAUAUAGUGGCUGGCACUCAUAAGUUAUGUAUGGCUGAGAAGAGGAAGAAAAUUCCGGACUUUGUAUUUACACCCAGUGUAGAAGUCUCUGGAAGCAGAAUCCUCCCUGCCUGAUAUUUCUGACAGUCUCAUGGAAAGAGGGCAAUUUACUCAAGUCCCUGUCAUCCUUGGGUGUUCUGUCAGAGAAGGAACUGUGGCAACCGUAUUUGAUGGACUGAGCGAUAAAAGAUUUGAAUUCAUCAACAACAACCCGGAAGUGCUUGUACCAUCAUUUCUUGGUUUAAAAGAAGGAAGUGUUGAAAAGAAAGAGGCAGAAAAUGAAAUUUGGACAUUUUACUUUAAAGGG